rnacentral:rRNA from 1 species
UACGAAGGGGGGCUAGCGUUGUCCGGAAUUAUUGGGCGUAAAGCGCGCGCAGGCGGUCCUUUAAGUCUGAUGUGAAAGCCCACGGCUCAACCGUGGAGGGUCAUUGGAAACUGGGGGACUUGAGUACAGAAGAGAAGAGUGGAAUUCCACGUGUAGCGGUGAAAUGCGUAGAGAUGUGGAGGAACACCAGUGGCGAAGGCGACUCUUUGGUCUGUAACUGACGCUGAGGCGCGAAAGCGUGGGGAGCAAACAGG